rnacentral:rRNA from 1 species
UUGGUGUGAAAGCCUAUGGCUCAACCAUAGAACUGCACCCAAAACUACUAGACUAGAGUCUGGGAGAGGAAAAUGGAAUUAGUUGUGUAGGGGUAAAAUCCGUAGAGAUAACUAGGAAUACCAAAAGCGAAGGCAAUUUUCUGGAACAGUACUGACGCUCAGAUGCGAAAGCGUGGGUAGCAAACAGGAUUAGAUACCCUGGUAGUCCACGCCCUAAACGAUGAAUGUUAGUCGUCGGGAGGCUCGUCCUUUCGGUGAUGCAGCUAACGCAUUAAACAUUCCGCCUGGGGAGUACGGUCGCAAGAUUAAAACUCAAAGGAAUAGACGGGGACCCGCACAAGUGGUGGAGCAUGUGGUUUAAUUCGAAGAUACGCGAAGAACCUUACCUAGCCUUGACAUUGAUAGAAUCCGAUGGAAACAUUGGAGUGCCAGUUUACUGGAGCUUGAAAACAGGUGCUGCACGGCUGUCGUCAGCUCGUGUCGUGAGAUGUUGGGUUAAGUCCCGCAACGAGCGCAACCCUCGUCCUUAGUUACUAACGGUUCGGCCGAGGACUCUAAGGAGACUGCCUUCGUAAGGAGGAGGAAGGUGAGGACGACGUCAAGUCAUCAUGGCCCUUACGGCUAGGGCGACACACGUGCUACAAUGGAUAGGACAAUGAGACGCAAUACCGUGAGGUGGAGCAAAUCUAUAAACCUAUUCUCAGUUCGGAUUGUAGUCUGCAACUCGACUACAUGAAGCUGGAAUCACUAGUAAUCGUAGAUCAGCCAUGCUACGGUGAAUACGUUCCCGGGUCUUGUACCCACCGCCCGUCACACCAUGGGAGUUGAUUUCACCCGAAGCGGGGAAGCUAAACUGGCUACCCUCCACGGUGGAAUCAGCGACUGGGGUGAAGUCGUAACAAGGUAACC